rnacentral:rRNA from 1 species
AGCAGCCGCGGUAAUUCCAGCUCCAAUAGCGUAUAUUAAAGUUGCUGCAGUUAAAAAGCUCGUAGUUGAAUUUCGGGACCAAUAUGUCGGUCGUGCCUCGGUACGUACUGGCAUCGUUGGUUUCUCCCUUCUGACGAACCAUGAUGUCAUUUAUUUGGUGUCGUGGGGAAUCAGGACUGUUACUUUGAAAAAUUAGAGUGUUUAAAGCAGGCUCACGCUUGAAUACAUUAGCAUGGAAUAAUGAAAUAGGACGUUUGAUUCUAUUUUGUUGGUUUCUAGGAUCGACGUAAUGAUUAAUAGGGAUAGUUGGGGGCAUUAGUAUUCAAUUGUCAGAGGUGAAAUUCUUGGAUUUAUUGAAGACUAACUACUGCGAAAGCAUUUGCCAAGGAUGUUUUCAUUAAUCAAGAACGAAAGUUAGGGGAUCGAAGACGAUCAGAUACCGUCGUAGUCUUAACCAUAAACUAUGCCGACUAGGAAUCAGACGAUGUUAAUUUUUAAUGUACUCG